rnacentral:lncRNA from 1 species
GUGCGCCACUCCCCCGCUGUUUCUACAAGAGCUUAUUCUCUCAAGAUCCAGGGUAUUUUGAGUGGUCCUUUCCCAGUUGAGUUAGAAGCUGGCUGGCUGAGAAUAAGAAAAUACAGUAUGUGAGCACUUGGAGGAGAAACUGUAGGUUGCAAUAGUGGAAGGGAGGAGGAUUUUGAGCAAAAGAAGAAACUUGUGUUGUUAGGAGCUGCGACCACGCUAUUCAUUGCCUGAGUAGCCAAGCAUGUUAAGGUUUCUGCUGGAAAGGAAGACAUCACUUUCUAGAAAUAUCUCUAUGAAAUGGCUCGCACAGACUGUGGACCAGGGAAGGAUGAUGCUACAGAUGCACGGUCUCUCCAAGGCACCAACUGAAUCAAGCAUCUGUGUAGAGAGAAGAGAUUCAGCCCCAAGAUGAGAUCCAGGAAUCUAGGAUGUACUCAGGGAGAUGAAGACUACAGCCUACUCAUUCUGUCACUUUAUGCCCCCCUCUUUCUCCUCUCACUCUCUCAGUAUGGUGCAUUAUAGAACAACAAAGAGAGAAAAGGAAAUGAAGACCAUGAGCCUUGCAUAAUAAAUAUUAACUGAGAAGUACCUGGAUCUUAUGAGAAAUAUAUACCUUAUUAAAAAAAGCCAUGCUCUUCAAACUGGCCAGGAUUUAAGUGAUUUCCAGUGAGUACCUUACAAGAAUUCUUCUCAUGUGUGGAGGAGAAGUUCAACACCAUAAAUGGAUGUGGUACAGCGCCCCAGAGGGAAUUACAAUGAAAGUGAAAUCCAAAGAAUUCCAAGAGAACCACACCUGCAGAUCAUGCUCCAUUCAUUUGUGUACUUCCCCCUACUCAGUCUUUAAACCCACAGUGUAGCAAUUUCCAAAGGGAGCUCAAUGCAUAGAUCCCAGGCCCCUUCAUAUGAGCUCAUGGUUGUAUAAACCUCAGUGUCCAUAUCCUACUGAAACUCUGCCCAGAGGAAAGCAUGUGUUUUCUCAGAACUACUUAUUUUGCUCUUAGAUUAUUUUUAAAAUUUUACUCUUAGAUAUUUAUUGACCUUGAUAAUAUACUAAACUGUUUUUGUUUGUUUGUAUGUUUGUAUUUUAUUGUGGUUAUGUUCUCUUUAAGGUCCAUUACAGUGUUGGAAAACAGUGUAUUCUCUAAAUAAAAAAGAGAAAAAUUUAAAUUAAAAGAUAAAAAAGUGCUGAA